rnacentral:rRNA from 1 species
AUUUCUUCUGCCACCGAAUACAUUAGCAUGGGAUAAUGGAAUAGGACCCUGUCCUCCUAUUUUGCGUGUUGGUUUUCGAGGACCGGGUAAUGAUUAAUAGGGAUAGUUGGGGGCAUUAAUAUUUAAUUGUCAGAGGUGAAAUUCUUGGAUUUAUGAAAGAUUGACUUCUGCGAAAGCAUCUGCCAAGGAUGUUUUCAUUAAUCAAGAACGAAAGUUAGGGGAUCGAAGACGAUCAGAUACCGUCGUAGUCUUAACCAUAAACGAUGCCGACCAGCGAUUAGGAGACGUUGAAUACAAAACACCACCGUCGGGUCGGCCGUCCUUGGCCG